AUUGAACGCUGGCGGCAGGCCUAACACAUGCAAGUCGAACGAGUGGCGGACUGGUGAGCAAUGUCUGGGAAACUGCCUUACGGAGGGGGAUAACUAGUGUAAACGGUAGCUAAUACAGCAGACCUUCAGCUCGGCCCAGAUGGGUUGAUCUAGUUGGUGGGGUAACGGCUCACCAAGGCGACGAUGCCUAGCUGGUCUGAGAGGUUGACCAGCAACACAGGAACUGCGACACGGUCCAGAUGCCUACGGGAGGAAGCAGUAGGGAAUAUUACACAAUGGGCGCAAGCCUGAUGCAGCCAUGCCGCGUGUAUGAAGAAGGUCUUCGGGUUGUAAAGUACUUUCAGCGGGGAGGCGUUACCCGCAGAAGAAGCACCGGCUAACUACGUGCCAGCAGCCGCGGUAAUAC
rnacentral:rRNA from 1 species